rnacentral:lncRNA from 1 species
CGGCGAGUGAGGGUGAAACUCAGGCCAAAGUCUCCAGAGCCGCUCGGAGAAAACGCUGCCUGGAACAGAAGAGCAGAGGAUCAGAGGCACCACCAGAGACUCUCAGAGUGGGUUAUUACCCUGGUGGGGGCGCCUGCUGCGGCGUAGGAGAUGGCGGGACUGGGGGCGCGGGUGUGAAGCCCCCAAGAAAUCUGUGUGAAUUUCCUGGGGAGGUAAGGUCUCCAGGCGCUCUCUCUGGGCCCGGGGAUUGGUCCGGGAAGGUCUCCUGGCGCCUACCCAGCCCCCACUGCCUGGACGCCUGCGCCUGCUCUGCCGCCCCACAGCGACCGCGAAGGCCAGCUUCUUCGAAAGGCCCAUUUUUCUCCGUGGCUGAGCGAAUGCUCCUAGAAUACCACGUUUAUAAUAAAUCAUGUAGGGUGGAAUUCCUGCUGGAUGUAUACACCUUUCUGCAUCAGAGCUCUUCAAACCCAGAAUGGUGAAUAGCUACCCCUGGGCUUACCCUUUUAUAAUUUUCAACAAACCUGCGUUUAGCCCCGGCUAGGUGCCAGCAAGUUGCUAGGGACUGAGGAGGCUCUGCAGAGGACCCGAGCUGAGGCCCUAAUCCUCAAGGCCAAUGGCAGGGGUCACCGCCCAGGCACCCCCAGAGAACGCGGUGUGAAGGAAAAGACACCAAACUCGGUGUUCAAAUGUGUGGGAUCUAUUCUAGUUCUGAUUCUGACACUUGCAAGUCAUGCAUCCUCCGAGCCUCGGCUUUCUCACCUAUAAAAUCUUCAACGUGACCUAUAAAAAUCCAUAAAAUCACCCCUGCUUCAUUGUUUCCCAGGGCUCAUAGAAACAUCAUACAAGGUAGAUGGACCAGGGUGCCCUCUAAGGAUCCCAAGGAAGGGCCUUAAAAGAUGAAGAGGAUGUUGACAGACAGUUACUGAGAAGGAAAAGAGGAGGGCAUCCUAUGCAGACAAAGAGGAGGGUUUCAAGGGAAGUCCUGACAUGUGUCUCCUUCCCUCGUCCCCUUGUUUGUGAAGCCGAAGGGUAAGUUCCUGAUCUUUAAGCGCCUGUCCACCUGUGACUUCUGGUCAAGGGAAGGGACAGAGGAGUUGGAAAGACUUCUUGAAGGAAGAAUGAAACAAACACCUGUGUUGUAGGAUCCACCAACUUUAAGAAAUGGAACCAUGUAAUUACCUUUAAAGUAUUCUAUAAUUUAUUUACACAUUAUUGUAUAUUUUGUUUACAACAUUCUACUGUUGAUGGACAUUUAAAUUAUUUCCCAUUGUCUCCAGGUUUAUUUGUUUUUCUGGCUUGGACAUCCAUAUGCAUACAUUUUUUCUUCUUCUUCUUCUUCUUCUUCUUCUUCUUCUUCUUCUUCUUCUUCUUCUUCUUUUCUUUUCUUCUCCUUCUCCUUCUCCUUCUCCUUCUCCUUCUCCUUCUUCUUCUUCUUCUUCUUCUUUUCUUCUUUUC